rnacentral:rRNA from 1 species
AUGGCAGGAGCAUCGACAGUCAUGGUAAUCUUCAUAGCAAGCAUCUUCUUCCCAGCAGUGGGAACACUUGCCCGAGCCUCUUCUGGACACUCCAUGUCGUCACCAGCUUGCCCUGACAAGUGUGGCGACGUAUCCAUCCCAUACCCCUUUGGGAUUGGCGCGCACUGUGCUGCAAUCAGCCUCAACAGCUACUUCAACCUCAGACUGCGACAGCAUGGUCGAUCCACCAAGGCCAACUGUUGGUGAUCCGAAUGUAGCAGCUGAGAUCGCCGACAUCUCACUGAAGAAUGGCGAGAUGCACCUAUACAGCCCCGUCAACCAGAUCUACUUCACGUCGAACACCACAUUCACCAAGUUCACCACAGGGUACGAUCUGAAGCACACACCCUUCCUCCCGUCACCGUCACGCAACCGUUUCACAGUCAUUGGCUGCAACACCCUUGGGCUCAUCACCGGCUACAAAGAAACCGCAGGCCAGUAUGUGACUGGUUGCUACUCGAACUGCGAGGGCAUCAACAACACGUCUGAGGGCGCGCCAUGCAAUGGGAUGGGCUGCUGUGAGGUUGCCACCCCCACCAACCUCACCUCCUUGGAGAUCAAAUUUGAGAUGACACAGAGCAGGGUAUGGAGCUUCAACCCAUGUUUCUAUGCCAUGGUGGCUGAGGUUGGGUGGUACACCUUCAGGCAGCAGGACCUUGCCGGCACUCUUGGGUUCAUUGAUGGUCGAGCUAAGAGAGGUGCUGCCGUUGUUGUCGACUGGGCCAUUAGGAAUGGCUCAUGCCCGGAGAAGGGGAAAGACACACCUACUGACUAUGCUUGCAUCAGUACAAACAGCUAUUGCAUGGCCGCGAACAAUGGUCCAGGAUACUUAUGCCAAUGCUCCGGAGGAUAUGAGGGCAAUCCUUAUCUUCUGACUGGCUGUCAAGGUUAAGUAUUUACUUUAGUUUAACUUCUCUAGAUUUCCAUGGAUAUUACACUGAAAACAGAUGGAACUAUAAACAAUACGCAGUGUUAGUUAAACCCAGAUACACUUUCACAAAACAUCUAUAUGAAGACUUUCCAAUAUAUGGGUUGCGAUUUUACCUCAUGUAGCUUUGAUUUACACCACACCAUCACAGAGAAACAUAGACGAGUGCACAUUGCGUAAGCAGGACCCCAAGUAUGAAGAUUUGUAUCCAUGCAGACAAGGGGUCUGUAACAACACACCCGGGAACUACUCUUGCAUAUGCAAGAGAGGAACACGACCUGAUGGUACAAAAUUUGGAUGCCGACCUCUGUUGUCUUCAGAUCAAAAAUUGGUCAUUGGGCUCAGUAUUUCUGCAACUUCGGUGAUGGCCUUAGCAUGCUUGCUACUCAUGCAAUUUCAAAUAAAAAGGCACAAGAGGGAGAAAGAUGAGUAUUUCAGACAAAAUGGAGGUCUCAAGUUAUAUGACGAGAUGAGGUCAAAGCAGGUUGACACAAUCCGCAUACUUACGGAGAAAGAGAUAAAGAGAGCCACUGACAACUACAAUGAAGGUCGAGUUAUUGGAUGUGGUGGUCAUGGUAUGGUCUACAGAGGAACUUUGGAUGAUCAAAAAGAGGUCGCCAUAAAGAAGUCCAAAGCAAUCAAUGCUGAUUGGAGAGAAGAAUUUGUCAAUGAGAUUAUAAUCUUAUCACAAAUCAAUCACCGAAACAUUGUGAGGUUACUAGGCUGUUGUCUGGAUGUGGAUGUCCCAAUGUUGGUCUACGAGUUUGUCUCCCAUGGUACUCUAUCCCAGUUCCUUCACGGUGCUGAUCGUAGAUUGCCAAUUCCCCUUGCUAUUCGCCUGAAGAUUGCUACACAGUCAGCAGAAGCUCUAGCUUACUUACAUUCAUCCACAUCUCGCACAAUCCUACAUGGCGAUGUCAAGUCUGCCAACAUUCUCUUGGAUGACAAGCUCAAUGCAAAGGUUGCUGAUUUCGGAGCAUCAGCACUUAAGUCCAUGGAUGAAAGUGAGUUCAUCAUGUUUGUCCAUGGAACAUUGGGAUACCUUGACCCUGAGAGCUUUAUCAGCCAUCUUCUCACUGAGAAAAGCGAUGUAUACAGUUUCGGGGUUGUUCUUCUCGAGCUAAUGACACGAAAGAGGGCUAUAUAUACCGACAACUUUAAUGGAAAGCACUCACUGUCAUAUAGUUUUCCCUUGAUGUUUCAUCGGAAGACGCACCACGUUAUGCUGGACUCUGAAAUUACAGAUGACGCGGGUAUGGUGGUCCUUGAGAACAUGGCUGAACUCGCAGUUCACUGCCUUAGCCAGAGGGGAGAUGACAGGCCAACAAUGAAGGAAGUUGCAGAGAGACUAGAUAUGAUGAGGAGACUCUAUUCGCACGCCACCAGUGCUUGUGAACAUAACUGCUUUGCACGUAGUUAUGGAGCAUCAUCUUCAGUGGCUAUCCCUUUGGGCGAGACAACACAUGGGACCAUCGAUAUGUCUGAGCUGGUUGAAGAUCUUGCAAGAUGA